UGAUGAAGAACACAGUGAAAUGUGAUAAGUAAUGUGAAUCGCAGAAUUCAGUGAAUCAUCAAAUUUUUGAACGCACCUUGCACCUUUUGGUAUUCCAAAAGGUACACCUGUUUGAGUGUCAUGAAAACUAGCUCAUUAAAUAACUUUUUUAUUAAGGUUUUUUGAUGGAUGUUGAGUGUUGCUGUGAUUAUUAUUACAGCUCACUUCUUUAAAUACAUAAGCUCAUCUUAUCAUUUGAUUUGGACUGACUUGAUGUGAUAUAUAUCAACAUCAUCAAGGAAUGUAUAAUAUACAGCCAAUCAAUUUUUGAAAAGUAGGCUACUAAACAAGAUUUCCUUUAAUGUGGAAAUAUUAUUUGUAAGACCUCAAAUCAGGUGGAAUUACCCGCUGAACUUAAGCAUAUCAAUAAGCGGAGGAAAAGAAACUAACAAGGAUUCCCC
rnacentral:rRNA from 1 species